AUUCCCUCAAAACGUCACUGUUUUAUCAGUUAGUGUCUGUAAGCCAAUAUGAAUGUUUACUGGUAACGUCCUAGGAUAGAUAAGCAGUAUCGCAGCAUGAAAAAGUAAUACCUCUUUAUGUGUGUGUGUGUGUGUGUGUGUGUGUGUGUGUGUGUGUGUGUGUGUGUGUGUGAGAGAGAGAGGUGUACAUUUAACAAUCGAAUUUGCCAGUGUUGCACAUGAGAUUGUGUCAAGUUUGUGCACAGAAAAAAUCACUACAGCGCCAUAUCAUAUUUGAACAUGUCAAUAGGCGUGCUGAGCUGAACAUAUUUGUAAACUCUGAUAUAGUUAGUUAGUAGUCUAGUAAAACAGUUGGUAUACUAAGUCUAGUUGUAAGAGGAACAUCAUCAUCAUCAUCAUCAUCUGUAUAAUAGAGACAGUUAAACACACAACUGUAGUUCUUUGGUUGCCUGAUAUUCUUUCAAAUCAAAUGUUUCCAAUUGGCUCACCAGCUGUGCUCGCCUCUCAAACCUGGUAAGUGACCCGACCCUCGCCCGACCUCUGACCUCUCACACUCUCAGGCUUCAUCUUAACACUUGUGGGUGAGAACUGGAAGGACUGACUUCACACCCAAAUGUGAUGAUGUGUGUCUCAGAGGUGUUCAGUAGACCGCUGACUUCACACCCAAAUGUGAUGAUGUGUGUCUGAUGCUGAGGUGUUCAGUAGACCACUGACUUCACACCCAAAUGUGAUGAUGUGUGUCUGAUGCUGAGGUGUUCAGUAGACCACUGACUUGAUUUCUAGCCCCCCUUUGCCUCCUAUGUUCACGUUCUGCUUUUAUUUGCAACAAAAUCAACCCAAUAUUUUGCGCUCUGGACCAAUCUGCUGUGUUUUUUCACCGUAUGUGUGUUGCCUCUUAUCUGAUAAGGUUACCUGACUAUAUGCUCUGUGAAUGUGUUGUGUGUGUGUGUGUGUGUGUGUGUGUGUGUGUACAUAGGUGAGCGAGGCAAGUGUCUGUGUAUAUAUAAAUGAAUAUUUAAAACUCCUUUCUGUGUUUUCU
ensembl:lncRNA